CCUACGGGAGGCAGCAGUAGGGAAUCUUCCACAAUGGGCGCAAGCCUGAUGGAGCAACGCCGCGUGGGUGAAGAAGGUCUUCGGAUCGUAAAGCCCUGUUGUUAGAGAAGAACGUUCGUGAGAGUAACUGUUCCCGCUUCGACGGUAUCUACCCAUGAAGCCCCGGCUAACUACGUGCCAGCAGCCGCGGUAAUACGUAGGUGGCAAGCGUUAUCCGGAUUUAUUGGGCGUAAAGGGAACGCAGGCGGUCUAUUAAGUCUGAUGUGAAAGCCUUCGGCUUAACCGGAGUAGUGCAUUGGAAACUGGGAGACUGGAGUGCAGAAGAGGAGAGUGGAACUCCAGGUGUAGCGGUGAAAUGCGUAGAUAUAUGGAAGAACACCAGUGGCGAAAGCGGCUCGCUGGGCUGGAACUGACGCUGAGGUUCGAAAGCGUGGGUAGCAAACAGGAUUAGAUACCCCAGUAGUC
rnacentral:rRNA from 1 species